rnacentral:rRNA from 1 species
GUGCCAGCAGCCGCGGUAAUUCCAUGCUCCAAUAGCGUAUAUUAAAGUUGUUGUGGUUAAAAAGCUCGUAGUUGAACCUUGGGCCUGGCUGGCCGGUCCGCCUCACCGCGUGCACUGGUCCGGCCGGGCCUUUCCCUCUGUGGAACCCCAUACCCUUCACUGGGCGUGGCGGGGAAACAGGACAUUUACUUUGAAAAAAUUAGAGUGCUCCAGGCAGGCCUAUGCUCGAAUACAUUAGCAUGGAAUAAUAAAAUAGGACGCGCGGUUCUAUUUUGUUGGUUUAUAGGACCGCCGUAAUGAUUAAUAGGGACAGUCGGGGGCAUCAGUAUUCAACUGUCAGAGGUGAAAUUCUUGGAUCAGUUGAAGCCUAACUACUGCGAAAGCAUUUGCCAAGGAUGUUUUCAUUAAUCAGGAACGAAAGUUAAGGGAUCGAAGACGAUCAGAUACCGUCGUAGUCUUAACCAUAAACUAUGCCGACUAGGGAUCGGACGGUGUUAUUCAUGACCCGUUCGGCACCUUACGAGAAAUCAAAGUGCUUGGGCUCCAGGGGGAGUAUGGUCGCAAGGCUGAAACUUAAAGAAAUUGACGGGAGGGCACCACCAGGGGUGGAGCCUGCGGCUUAAUUUGACUCAACACGGGGAAACUCACCAGGUCCAGACACAAUAAGGAUUGACAGAUUGAGAGCUCUUUCUUGAUUUUGUGGGUGGUGUGCAUGGCCGUUCUUAGUUGGUGGGGUGACUUGUCUGCUUAAUUGCGAUAGCGAACGAGACCUUAACCUGCUAAAUAGCCCGCAUUGCUCCAG